GGGCGAUUAGCUCAGCUGGUCAGAGCGCACGGUUCACAUCCGUGAGGUCACUGGUUCGAACCCAGUAUCGCCCACCA
rnacentral:tRNA from 1 species